rnacentral:miRNA from 1 species
UCCACAAAGAGGAUUCGGUCAGGCU